CACAAGGCUGCAUCUCCGAGGAUGGAGUCCAGAUUCUCUAGUCUGGUGGCUGAGCCUGCCUCCUUGGAGGGCUAUUUGAAAAAAAGUUACAGCUUCUAGUGAUAGGAGGAAAAUUGCCUCGUGGUUGAAAACACUACACACCAUGAAUGACGUCAGUCUACGCAAAAAUGAGCCAAGUUUCUCCUCACAGCCUCGGCAGAACUGGAGGACUUAAAAG
rnacentral:lncRNA from 1 species